rnacentral:lncRNA from 1 species
CGCCUCCUUGGCUGUUGUUGUCAUCUCCUCAAAUAAGUCGUAUCAGGUUAGUUCCAUUGCACUGCAAAUACUACCACUUCUAUUGGGCAAGCAAAUACAACUUGAAAGUAUAAGUCGUAUCAGGUUAGUUCCAUUGUACGCCAGUGUCGUCUGGCACGCGAAGUCAAUUUCUUGCAUCACCCAUUGUUGUUCAUCUGCUACUCUAACCAGUAACCAUCCCUUGCUCCCAAUAAUUUUGAGCUCGCAAAGAUGACAUUGGUUGCUUGAUUAGCAUUAUUUCUUUCAAGGACAAAACUAAUUGUCGAUUCUUUUUGGAUACAGCAGAAGGAUUUUGGAUGCAGACCAAUGUGGUUUCUUCAUAGUACUAGGGAGCCGACAAUAAAAAACAUGAGAAUUCAUCACCUAUCUUAGCCACCGCAACCUGAACAAGAUUUGCCAACAUCUAGCUUAAUCCUUCUGAAUGGUUGGUAGUAGAUCUGUCCUACAAGCAGAAAUCAUCUACUUUGUGUUUGAAUUUUCUAAAUUACAGUAAAACAUGUGCAUACUUCAGUUUGCACAAAGAGCAAACCUAGACAAUCUGCUGUAGGGUCUGAGCUACUGAAUAUACAUGUAGUAAAAAAUACUUUUCCUUUGGUCCUCUUUCAUGUUCAAGUUCCUAACGAAGCUGCCAUACAGCGCAUUUAGGCUGUGGUCAACAAGUCGGCGGACAAGUUGCAAAUUCAAUCAACAAUGAAGGAACAUAGAAAACUGAACCCACUGUUCAUGAUCUUUAAGGAAGAAAACACACAAGAUUCGUUAUUCAAUCUUAUCAAUGACCAUGUGUAAUCUUAGGCUAUUUUGUUAUCAAUAGCUAAAAGUUGUUCACAAGCCUUGGUGUGUUUUGAUGUUUCUUGCAUGUGGAGCUGCAGGUAGAGCUGAGGAUUAAGGAUUAAGUAUAAACGCAAUGGAGCCCGUUGUAUAACAACGCAGAGCCGAAGGAGAUGCUACUUUAUUGUUGCCUUAUCUUUGUCGAUGCAGUCGAAUAUGGGUCUAUUCUGGUGCCCUGUCUUCAUCGUAGCGUGUGUAUGUAACAUGGGGGCGGCCGUGAGAAUAGAUCGUCUAG